GUCCAUCUGACGAGUCCCAAAUAGGACGAAAUACUUUUUCCUGGAU
rnacentral:hammerhead_ribozyme from 1 species